rnacentral:snoRNA from 1 species
ACGACGUUACUUGAACAUGAUCUGUUCUAUAGAAUCGUACUACUGUGUCUUUGAUUUCUAAGGUUGGACAUGCAUCUUCAAGCAGGUU